CAGUCGCCACGGUAAUACAGAGGGUGCGAGCGUUAAUCGGAUUUACUGGGCGUAAAGCGUGCGUAGGCGGCUUUUUAAGUCGGAUGUGAAAUCCCUGAGCUUAACUUAGGAAUUGCAUUCGAUACUGGGAAUCUAGAGUAUGGGAGAGGAUGGUAGAAUUCCAGGUGUAGCGGUGAAAUGCGUAGAGAUCUGGAGGAAUACCGAUGGCGAAGGCAGCCAUCUGGCCUAAUACUGACGCUGAGGUACGAAAGCAUGGGGAGCAAACAGGAUUAGAUACCCCCGUAGUCCCUGUCUCUUAUAC
rnacentral:rRNA from 1 species